UAAGUUUUUUCUCUCAGACCCGUCAGUUAUUUAGAUUCUUCCUCCUCCCCCUUCCUCCUCCUCUCUCCCCCUCUCUCCCCAUCUCCAAGGGGAGCAGUGAAAAUGACAACGUUUCAUCACUUGCUGUUUGAGGAGCUGUUUUGGGAGCUGUCUGCUCCUUCAUGCAGCUGUAAAAGCUACAGAGAAGGAGUGUAAUUGUCUCUAUGUCAGGACAAGAAAGCAUGCCAGGAAGAUAUCACCUGCAGGUAGCAUUGGGAGUCCCUGGGAGGUUCUGCUUCCACCAUCUUUGCUGAGAAAACUACAAGCUGAACAUUUUACCUCUGCUACAUGAACCAGGAUUAGACCUCCUGUGUUUUUAGGGCAGAAAAGCAUCCUGAGAGGCAUGUUUGACAUGUUUAUGCCUUAUUAAUGAAAUGCAUGAAUAGUAAAUGCAGUUUUAUGCAUCUAUCCUAAAGCUCAGUUUGAAGCACAAACAUGUUCAGGACAUGUUCUGGGACCUGGGUCAUAAAGUAGGUUUACUUUGUGUACAAUGUUUACUUUACUGUUACAGCUCUACCAACUCUUGCCUGCUGUUAUUACAGAGUGCAGAAAAUAUGACAAGAAAAGCCAAUCCAUCUCAUGGCAAUUAUACUUCCUCACUUUUUCAGAGUUGGAUGAAAAGAGCAAUAUGAUAAACAGCAGGCCAUGAUCAAAAAUAAAGUGACACACCUUAACUGGCUUUGUCCAAAUCAAGACUAGUUCCUGAUAUAUUUAGAACUCAUUUGUUAAGGUUUAAUGAAAACUUAAGCCACAAAAAACAUCAGGUCAUGUUUAACUGAUGGCUGUAUACAGAAUAAACCUUAACUCAAAAAAG